rnacentral:ncRNA from 1 species
GUGUUGUAUGAAAGGAGAGAAGGUUAGCACUCCCCUUGACAAGGAUGGAAGAGGUCCUAGUGGCCUUUACAACACAUAUACGGUUAAGGCACUGCCACCUACUUCC